rnacentral:rRNA from 1 species
UGCCUACGGGGGGCAGCAGUGGGGAAUAUUGCACAAUGGGCGCAAGCCUGAUGCAGCCAUGCCGCGUGUAUGAAGAAGGCCUUCGGGUUGUAAAGUACUUUCAGCGAGGAGGAAGGCGUUAAGGUUAAUAACCUUGGCGAUUGACGUUACUCGCAGAAGAAGCACCGGCUAACUCCGUGCCAGCAGCCGCGGUAAUACGGAGGGUGCAAGCGUUAAUCGGAAUUACUGGGCGUAAAGCGCACGCAGGCGGUCUGUCAAGUCGGAUGUGAAAUCCCCGGGCUCAACCUGGGAACUGCAUUCGAAACUGGCAGGCUAGAGUCUUGUAGAGGGGGGUAGAAUUCCAGGUGUAGCGGUGAAAUGCGUAGAGAUCUGGAGGAAUACCGGUGGCGAAGGCGGCCCCCUGGACAAAGACUGACGCUCAGGUGCGAAAGCGUGGGGAGCAAACAGGAUUAGAUACCCCGGUAGUCA